ACUGCUCAGUAACACGUGGACAACCUACCCUUCGGUCGGGGAUAAACCCGGGAAACUGGGUAUAAUACCCGAUAGAGCUCGAAUGCUGGAAUGCAUUGAGCUCGAAAGCUCCGGCGCCGAAGGAUGGGUCUGCGGCCUAUCAGGUAGUAGUGGGUGUAGCGUACCUACUAGCCUACGACGGGUACGGGUUGUGAGAGCAAGAGCCCGGAGAUGGAUUCUGAGACACGAAUCCAGGCCCUACGGGGUGCAGCAGGCGCGAAAACUUUACAAUGCCGGCAACGGCGAUAAGGGAACCUCGAGUGCCAGGUUACAAAUCUGGCUGUCGCGAUGCCUAAAAAGCAUUGCAUAGCAAGGGCCGGGCAAGACCGGUGCCAGCCGCCGCGGUAACACCGGCGGCUCGAGUGGUAACCGUUAUUAUUGGGUCUAAAGGGUCUGUAGCCGGCCGGAUAAGUCUCUUGGGAAAUCCGGCAGCUCAACUGUCGGGCUUUCAGGAGAUACUGUCUGGCUCGAGGCCGGGAGAGGUGAGAGGUACUUCAGGGGUAGGGGUGAAAUCUUGUAAUCCUUGAAGGACCACCAGUGGCGAAGGCGUCUCACCAGAACGGACCUGACGGCAAGGGACGAAAGCUAGGGGCACGAACCGGAUUAGAUACCCGGGUAGUCCUAGCCGUAAACGAUACUCGCUAGGUGUCGGCCACGGUGCGACCGUGGUCGGUGCCGUAGGGAAGCCGUGAAGCGAGCCACCUGGGAAGUACGGCCGCAAGGCUGAACUUAAAGGAAUUGGCGGGGGAGCAC
rnacentral:rRNA from 1 species